rnacentral:rRNA from 1 species
ACCGAGUGGCGAACGGGUGAGUAACACGUGGGGAACCUGCCCUUCUCUCUGGGAUAACUCCGGGAAACCGGAGCUAAUACCGGAUACUCCUUGCGGACCGCAUGGUCUGCUCGGGAAAGCUCCGGCGGAGAAGGAUGGCCCCGCGGCCCAUUAGCUUGUUGGUGGGGUAACGGCCCACCAAGGCGACGAUGGGUAGCCGAGCUGAGAGGCUGAUCGGCCACACUGGGACUGAGACACGGCCCAGACUCCUACGGGAGGCAGCAGUGGGGAAUCUUGCGCAAUGGGCGAAAGCCUGACGCAGCAACGCCGCGUGCGGGAUGAAGGCUCUCGGGUCGUAAACCGCUUUCAGCAGGGAUGAAAAUGACAGUACCUGCAGAAGAAGCCCCGGCUAAAUACGUGCCAGCAGCCGCGGUAAUACGUAUGGGGCAAGCGUUAUCCGGAUUCAUUGGGCGUAAAGCGCGCGUAGGCGGCUUGUUAAGUCAGGCGUGAAAUCCGGGGGCUCAACCCGCGGCUUGCGUCUGAAACUGGCAGGCUUGAGUCUGGUAGAGGAAAGUGGAAUUCCUGGUGUAGCGGUGAAAUGCGCAGAUAUCAGGAGGAACACCAGUGGC